ensembl:lncRNA
GCCCAAGACUUCUGACCUAAGAACCAGGAGAUAACUGGUCACUUCCAAUAGGCUGUGUUCACUCAUGGGAACGCCUGUCUCACCUGGCUUUCAGAGGAAGCUCACCCUGGGACAGGGUUAUCGGCACCCAAGGUGAGACAGCAACAGGGUUUCACUCCAUCCCAGCAAUUUCUGACGAGAUGCUACUGCCUUUCAACUUUCUCCACCAACAGGGUCAGCCCUGUCCCCUGGCCUCCACUGAAGUUAGCCUGACACGCUGGAAGCCUCGAAACAAAUUAAAUGAGGCAAGGAGGCCAUGCAGUGAACAUUCCAUUAUGGCCCCUCUGCUCCCUUCCACGAGUGACUCACACAAUCACUUUUAGGAGGUGAGGCAUCUUAUUCAAUCAACACUUAAUCUCCGUGCCUUGUCUUGGAGGAGGGAGAAAGGACGGUGGGUGCAUUAUCCCUGAUCCUUCUAUUUUCCGAGACCCUCACUGGAGAUGUCUGCUGGUGGUGGGGGUGGGGAGAAUUGUGGGGAACCUUGACCCUGUUCCAGGUAAGCUUCUGAUUUACAGUUCAUUGUGCUUUCUAACAAAUAAUUUUUAUAUAAUAAUUCCACCAGUGAGCACCAAACCUUCUUCUUGGGAAUGCAAUUAAGGGAAAAAUUAGCAAUAAAUUGUUUUCAGUACUUAACCCAGCUCCAAAUUUAUGGUUGCUGCAAUUUAUUGUUUCAGAGGCCUGAAAAAUGGCAAUGAAUUUUGUCCCAUUGGCUGUCAUUCACCCUCGAAGUGGAAAUGUAAAUAAAGAAUCGUUCAGGGCCUUGGGUUUUCCGGAUCCUUACUAAAUCUCACAACCUUAAGCCCCUCCGGCCAGUUCCCACGACGGAUCCCCCAGCCUUAGAAACAGAGCGAAAAGCUCCCGGUCUGCAGGCAGGCGGCUCCUCUCCUUCUGCGGCCCCACGCGCCGCCCCAAGCAGGACGCGCGGCGCGGAAUGAGUGUAAAUGAGAAAACACUAACUUCGCUCCUGACGGCGCCGAUGCAGGAUGUAUCCGUUUACCCUAUAAAUAAGCACUGAUCACCUCCAUUUUAUUGAACUCAUUUUCCAGGCAAGCAGAGACCACAAGAUUCUUCAGCACAUUUUCUCUUUACACCCUCUAGGACGGCUGCUAGUGUCAACUCCGACAGAUUUAUAGCCCAUUCAUUCAUGGGAACAAAAACCCUGCCACGGCUGGUCAUGGGACACGCAAUAGCAGUUAGUUCAGAAGAUAACAGCGGCAAUACCUCACCUCUCCAUUCAGGACUACAGAGCCGGCACCACUUUGGAGCCAACAAUCCGGAAAGGAAUAAAGACAAAUGGGGAAUCUGAAGCUUAAGUUAAGGACAAAGAAGCAACAACUAUGGUUAAGCGUUCUGUCUCAUUUUGAAGUCAGCUUCAACCACUUCCAAGCC